rnacentral:hammerhead_ribozyme from 1 species
GAACCGCUGAAGAGUCCCAUACUAGGACGAAACGGUCGUCCAGUGC